rnacentral:rRNA from 1 species
CUCGUAGGUGGCCAACUAAGUCAGACGUGAAAUCCCCAGGCUUAACCUGGGAACUGCGUCUGAUACUGGAUGGCUUGAAUUCGGGAGAGGGAUGCAGAAUUCCAGGUGUAGCGGUGAAAUGCGUAGAUAUCUGGAGGAAUACCGGUGGCGAAGGCGGCAUCCUGGACCGAGAUUGACACUGAUGAGCGAAAGCCAGGGGAGCAAAC